CGGCCCCGCUCCCCGCGGCGUGUCCGCUCCCCACGGGGCCGCCGCCAGCCCAAACGGCAGCCAAACAACCCCACUCGCGUUUCACCGAUGCCAGCUGAGGGACGGCGCCUCGACCCCGGAGGAGGGGCCAGUGUCACUGAGCUCCCCUCGGCUGCUCGCGCUGUCGUGACACACCGACAGACAGGCAGGCACUUCCUCUACAGCCGUGCACGGCGUGCUCGGGGCAGCCGCGGUGGGGACCCGGGCGCAGUAUCGUGUCCCCACCUCCUGAGGAGAGCAGGCCGCGGGCCCGAGGCUGCCCGCCCGCCUGCCCCCGUGUGAAGGGCUGCCAGCCCCCGAGAUUCUAAGAAGAAUCUACCUAGUAGAUAGAUUCUACCUAGUAGGAUGAAGAGGCUAUGCAAACAAACAUGAACUAAUCCAAUGCCACACAGCUAUAAUGGAAACACAUCCUGGCCACUCUGGAGCAGUACCAACUUUACCUGGAUGUGAACGGCGACCUGCUCAAAUUCUCUUGACGUUUGUGGUGGUAUGACACAAUUCCUUGGACACAUGCAGGUGGGCGUCGUUUGCCAGUGAAAAGGAUCUGCCUCUCAUUGGAUGCAUGCCAGACUGUCAUUCAGGAUCUGCCUCUCAUUGGAUGCAUGCCAGGCUGUCCUUCAGGGAGAAAUCAGUGCCAUUUCCUAUACCACAGCUGGUCUCAGGAAGAGGACUGCAUUGAUGAAUUAGUGCAACAACCCUCACAGCCCUGGAAGAAUGCAUCUUACAGGGAAAUCCAUAGGUGAUUAAUAGGUCAGAUUGGUCAUCCCUCACCCACAGUGGUAAGCAGUCUUUUGAGAGCUGAGAGAAACGUUUUGGUAUCCCUGGAAAUAGAUAUGUAUUUUAUAUAUAGUCUAUAUAUAGACUAUACUUUAGUCUAGAUCUAAAUUAAAUUAAGCUUCUGAAUAUAGAGUUUUCAUCUUAACAUGAUGUGCCUUACAAACAAAAACAAAGCCCAAGAAUUAAUUUGCACCGUGGAUAUUUUAGUCUCAAAUAGCGAUUUUCUACCACACCUGUACCUUAAUGCCUUUGCUUUUGUGUUUGUUUGUUUUGUAUGUUUCUGAGUCAUUACACAAUGUCAUUUAGAAUCAACUCAGCACCCUUCCUUUGUGUUGAGUGGUUUCAGUGAAUAAUGAUUGCAGGAUUAGCUUGCUAGUAAUGAAAUGUUGCUGUCUCUUAGGCUGAAAAUGAAACACCCUUAUGGAAUUUAAGAGUUUCUUGCUUUGUUUAGGCUGUGUAGUUAAAUAGCAUGGAAAGGUACAUCAGGUCAAUGCAGAUGCAGUGCAGUCUUAAAAAAUUUUUUUAAAAGGCAAAAACAAAAGAGAGAGGGAGGGAGGAAGAAGAGGGAAAGUGAGUGAAGGAAGACAAAUUCACCCAAUCGUUGAAGCUUUGAAUUGCACCACAUAGCUGAACUCCUAAUUUUGCCUUUGUACAAAGCAGAUAAAAGGUCCAUGUCUGUACUCUUUUUCACUCACAGAUGGGUGUUCAAAAUUUGCAAGUGUUAAGUGGUGUAAAAGAGGGAGUAUUGCCUGUUUGUUGAAGCCUAUAGAUGUACCUAUUUCAGUGAAGCAUAGGCUAGGUUCCUUAACAUUAGUGGACUAAAAACCCCAUUGAAUACUUGCUUCUCAUACUUGUUUUAUUCCUGUGCAGAGUUUUACCACUGGAAUUCGCUAAUUAAAGUUUAUGGAUUAUUUUUGUUUCAAAUUCUGCUACCAAAGAGAGGUAUCAAAGACAGGGCCUUGUUUCUUCAAAGACAUUAUGAAACCAUACUUCUCACAGGACUGUAGUGGCAUAUAUACCCUUGUAUGACACAAAUGGUGAGCUUCUAUCUGAAAUAAUAAAGUUGAUACCUAUUCUUGAACUGACACCUGAAGGAUUAUAAAGAAAAGCUAUCGAUGGCAGGUCUGUCAGCUGGCCUUAGUUAGGUCUGGUCUGUCCUGUGGUAGAAGGAAGAUGGAGGCAUUGGACCCUUUCAGCAGAUCCAGAGCCUGAGCUUUUUCUCUUGAGCAUUUGUUACAUUUAAGGAUUCAUGCUGAAUAACAAUAAUAAAAGAUGAAUCCCAUCUGGUUUUCUGUUGAUAUUAGUUCAGUGUAGUGUAUGACUACUCCAGGUUUAGUCUGCCAGCCAAGGAAGGCAUGCAGUUAUCAACCUUACUGAUAGGAUAAACCAAUUAUGUAAGCUUCUUUUCAAAUCUCUCCAAAUCCCAUAAUGCUUAACAAAGUAAAACUCUGGAGUUGAAAUGUACCUGUUUACAGAAAGAUACAGCAUCAAAUAGAAGUUUAAUUUAGAGCUUUGGGUAGACUAAGUGGCCUUGUAGACUGAUUCUUUGCCUGUGGCCAUUUUUAGGCAUGAAAUAUAGCAGGAAACCAGAACGAAAAGCAGACUUGCAAGAAAGACUUUUGUGUUUAGAAGGCUGUGGAGGCCCAAGCACUGAGAAGAUCAGUAUGUUCUGUGUUUUAGGGGUCCAGAUAGUGCCACAUCUUUAAGCUCUAACAGUAUUUCUCAAACUGUGCAUCCAGCAGUUGCCUUGGCAGGGCUCCAGAUUGAUCCUGUGUAGGGAGAGGGAAGUGCCCGUGGGGCUUGGCAAAAGCUGCUUGUCCUUUCCUCAUGAAGAUAUGUAUUUGUUCCUGGGCAAUGUGGGAGGUGGCUCCUCCUUUCUCUCUGCAUUUGUAGCAACCAUGAAAACGGUUAAUUCCACAAGACAGUCUAAUAUGCAAUUGCAGACCCAAAUGUCAUUGUAGAGGUCUGAGACUCUAUCAUGACACACAGCAAAAUUGCACAUGCACGUGCAAGUGGUUUCACAAGCCUGCUGAUGAAUGCCCCAAACCAAGUCAGAUGGAGCUUGCGAGGGAUGAAUAGGGAGAGAACAAAAUGCCAAGGGGCAAGAUGAAAAAGCACAGAGAACAGUGAGAAUGAAAUGAAAAAUGUAGAUCAUGGGAAGUGUAAACUGGAGUCAUCGAUCUCAGGCUAUGAAAGGAAGGGGGGCAUUCUGCCAUUGAAUCACAGGGUGCAGAUGCCUUAAGUGUACAACACGCAAAAUAUGGAGGAUGCUGUGCAGGGCAGGUGUGUAAAAACAAUGAGCAAACAGAGCAGAGUGAACAAAGGAAAACUGAGAAGGAAGUUUUUAAAAAAGGAAGAGGUCAGAAGAGGGAAUAGUGGCACAGAAGCUGAUAUUGAAGAAAAGAGGCGAGGCAGUGAAAGGAAAGAUGAAAGGAAGUACAGCCACUGAUUUAAUUUGCUGUUUUUCAUUAGGAAUGUAUCCUUUUGCCACUUCUGGAUGCCAUACACAUAGAUAAGAAAAUACAAGCUUUGCAGCUUAACACAGUGAAACUGCUUUCCAGACCCCUGGCAUCAAAACCACCUGCAAAACCCAAUAAAACAGCCUUCCCUGUCUGUUAAUAACACCCUGUGCCAAGCAGAGAGGUGCCAGCCCAGCUGAACGAAUCCAUGCCAGAGCAUUUAGAUAAUAACUGGUACGAUGAAUUGAACUCUAAAGCAAACAGACUGGUAAGCAAAGAGCAGGGCGACCAAAUUCCAUGGUGCACUACCCUGCUAUCUCCACUGGCUUGCAAAGUGUAUGAGUCAGGUGGAAGAUAGCCCUUGGCAGUAUCUGUGGAGAGUACUAUGAUCCCCAGUCAAGCAAACCUGUGCUUUCUUACUUCCUGGGCUCUUUUCAAGUGUGCUCUCUAGCAGUACUCUGCCCCAGCGUCUAUGUGGCACUCAACCAAGGUCUGCAGCAGUAAGAAAGGGUUUGUUUACUAGAAGGAAACGGAUGCUCCAAGCAGGACAUGAAAGACAGCAACCUCAGAGUCCAGCCUCCUGUAGCCCAGUUGUGGUCCAGAGUCUGAGGUGACAGAGUCUUGAGGUGACAGGCUAGACCCUCAGCUGGCAUAAAGCCACAGAAGCUCAGCACAUUAGCUGCAGCUGUUUUCUCCAUCUCUUGUGGCACCGAUGAUUGCGAUUCAAAAGAUGCCCAGCGUAUAAUAGAUGAAAUAAAGUGUACUGAAUUCACCAGCAACCUUAAAUAAAAGCCUGAGCUGCUUAAUUUAUCCUUGGAA